GACGAACGCUGGCGGCGUGCUUAACACAUGCAAGUCGAACGCUGAAGACCUGGCUUUUGUUGGGUUGGAUGAGUGGCGAACGGGUGAGUAACACGUGAGUAACCUGCCCUCUUCUUUGGGAUAACGCCCGGAAACGGGUGCUAAUACUGGAUAUUCACUGAUCUUCGCAUGGGGGUUGGUGGAAAGGUUUGUUCUGGUGGGGGAUGGGCUCGCGGCCUAUCAGCUUGUUGGUGGGGUGAUGGCCUACCAAGGCUUUGACGGGUAGCCGGCCUGAGAGGGUGACCGGUCACAUUGGGACUGAGAUACGGCUCAGACUCCUACGGGAGGCAGCAGUGGGGAAUAUUGCACAAUGGGCGAAAGCCUGAUGCAGCGACGCCGCGUGAGGGAUGGAGGCCUUCGGGUUGUAAACCUCUUUCGCUCAUGGUCAAGCCGCAACUGUGGGUUGUGGUGAGGGUAGUGGGUAAAGAAGCGCCGGCUAACUACGUG
rnacentral:rRNA from 1 species